UUUUUUUAUUUACUUUUCUGCUGUUAUUUUAAUUGAGUUUUCUGCUGUUUUAUGUGCUAUUCAGAUCUAUUUUUGUCCUGUUUUCUGCAUAUUUUUCUUGCUGUUUUUGUUCAGUUUUCUGCAGAGUUUUAUCCAAUAUUCUGUGCUGUUUUAGUAUUGUUUCUGCAGGUUUUUGUUCACCAGUUUUGUGUCCUGUUUUCUGCAUUAGUUUGCUGCUGUUUUUGUUCAAUAAUCUGCAGAAUUUCCAGCUUUCUGUGCCGCUUUAGUCCAUUUUCUGUGCUGCUUUAGUCCAUUUUAUGUACAGUUUUUUUUAUUGAGUUUUCUGCAGUUCCAUGUGCUAUUCAAUUCUAUUUUGUGUCCUGUUUUCUGCACUGGUUUGCUGCUGUUUAAGUCCAUUUCCUGCAGGUUGUUUAUACAGUUUUUUUUGCAGGUUUAUUUAGGCAGUUUUUGUUCAAUAAUCUGCAGAUUUGCCUCGUUUCUGCAUAAUUGUCUUUGAGCAGAAUUUCUGCAGAAUCUGUGGAAAACUUUUCCUGCAGAUUUUAUGCAGAAUUGUGGCAUAUUUGAGCAGAAUUUCAUUGUUUAUUGUUUCUUAUUCAGGAAAAACUCCAAAAUUCAAGUUUGUGAUUGACAAAGCAAGGCUCUGACCAUUUUUAUCUAUGCGCACCUUAAGACCUUGGCUUUUAAGAGAAAGUAUACUAAUAAAAGAGAUAUUUUGAGGCCGGGAGUUACACGAUUUGCAAGUUCUUUUCUCACCAUGCAAAGUAUAUUGGAGAAAAAAGAAAAGCUGAAAUUUAUGUUUCUCUCGGAGGAAUGGGGUCAGUGCAAAUUCUCAACUAGUGCAAAAGGUGUGGCUUCUUAUGCAACAAUUGUUAAUCAAUCAUUUUGGACUAAUCUUGCAAUGUGUUUUGAGUUGUUCAAACCUUUAGUAAAGGUUCUAAGAAUUGUUGACGGAGAUUGGCGUCCAUCUAUGAGCUUUGUAUAUGGUGAACUCAAAGAUGCCAAGAAAGAAUUUAUUAAACUUUGUAAAGAUACAAAAGAGAUAUACGAGCCCAUUAUCCAAAUUAUAGACUCGAGGGCUAAGGACCGACUUGAUAGUCCUUUACACUCAGCCGGCUACUUGUUAAAUCCUUAUUAUUACUAUCGAGAUGACGAGGCACAAAAAGAUCUGGCAUGUAUGACAGCUAUUUUAACAUGUGUUUGAAGCAUUCUUCCCAGAUAAUUUCCAUGUCCAGCACCUGGUUUCUAAUAUUGAGUUGCUGAAAUAUAAAGGAAUGGAAGGAAUGUUUGGAAAAAAAUUAGCCAAAAUGGGUAGAAUGACCAAUAAUGAUACUUUUGAUGUUGUUGGAUGGUGGUCAAAUUACGGUGCUGAAACUCCGAAUUUGCAAAUGAUGGCCAUGAGGAUACUUUCUUUAACUGAGUUCUUCAGGAUGUGAAAGAAAUUGGAGUACAUUUGAGGGAAUUCAUACCAAAAAGAGGAAUAGAUUAGAUGCAGCAAAAAUGAGCCAUCUAGUAUAUGUGCAAUUUAAUUCAAAACUUUUCAACAAGAAAAAGUGUUAAGUGACCAAUUCUCCUAAAACCUCAAGGUGUUAGGAGGAGGGCUUACCAGGAUCAUAUUAUAUUCUAACAAAAAGAGAAUGAAAGAAAAAUAUAAUGUAUUAAUAGCUAAUGAUGCUAGUAUGGCUCAAGGAUGGAUAGUUGACGGGGGUGAUGAUAAAGAAGAGCUUUCCCAGGAUUCUAACAUCACAAUUCACAAGUGAGGAGAUUGGUGAAGUAACUAGAAGGAUUGUUCGAGAACUUGAUGAAGAAGAUUUUGAAUCGGAAGAUGAAGCUAAUGACAAUGAAAAUCUAACAUUUGAUUUUGAUGAUUAUGAUCAACAGGGAUGGUGAAAGAUUGUUGUGUUUCUUGACUGUAAUUGUAGCUUGAACAUACGUAAUAUGUGUUCUUUGAAGUACAUUUGAUUUUGUGAACAAAGAUAUCAUGGCUUUUAGGCUUUAUUAUAACAUGCGAAUAUAUUUUGUUAUGAAAAA